GCGUGCCUCGGCCUUCGAUUGGACCAGCCCUCGCCAGUGUUGUUUCGGUAUUCCUCGGCUCCUGCCCUUUUCCCUUCCCUCCCCCGGGCUUCCGCUUCCGGUUCUGACGGACAAUUCGGCCGUAACGAUGAUCGGGGACAUCCUGCUGUUCGGAACGCUGUUGAUGAACGCCGGGGCCGUGCUCAACUUUAAGCUGAAAAAGAAAGACACCGCGCAGGGCUUUGGAGAGGAGUCGCGGGAGCCCAGCACAGGUGACAACGUGCGGGAGUUCUUACUGAGCCUCAGAUACUUCCGGGUCUUCAUUGCCCUGUGGAACAUUUUCAUGAUGUUCUGCAUGAUCGUUCCCUCUUAGUCUGGAAGCUCCACGGAAACUUGUUGAGCAUCAUAGCAACAUGGACAGAUGGACAGCUGCACAUGAGGUGCCUUGGCUGUGAACUGAAUCCAGAUCUCCCACAUGGAAGGGGAGAAUUCCAUCACUUAACCACCAAUGCCUUAUUUUGAAAAUCUGCUGUUUGGCUCUUGAGCCUCCUGAUACGGACCUAGGAUCACACCUUCCCAGGUGUCGACUCUGCGCUCCUCUGUUCUGAUGACUUCAAGAAUGUUUUUGGAACAUUCCAGCGACCUGCCCAGAAAGUUCAAGUUCGUGGUGGGUGGAUAAAUGUU